AGGUCUCGCCUGCCCAGUGAUAACUUCAACGGCCGCGGUACCCUAACCGUGCAAAGGUAGCAUAAUCACUUGUUCUUUAAAUAUGGACUUGUAUCAACGGCAUCACGAGGGUUGCACUGUCUUCCUCCUCUAAUCAGUGAAACUGAUCUCCCUAUGAAAAAGUAGGGAUGAUACUAUAAGACGAGAAGACCCCAUGGAGCUUUAAACCCAAUAGCAACUCAGCAAAACAACCCCUUCCAGCUACAAACUAUGCUAACGGCUUUAGGUUGGGGUGACCACGGAGUAAAAUUCAACCUCCACAACGAAAAGACCUAAAUCUUAACCUAAGAGUUACCUCUCUAAGAAUUAGAAAACUAACGGACUGUGACCCGAUUAUCGAUCAAUGAACCAAGUUACCCUGGGGAUAACAGCGCAAUCUACUUCAAGAGUUCAUAUCGACAAGUGGGCUUACGACCUCGAUGUUGGAUCAGGGUAUCCUAGUGGUGCAGCCGCUACUAAAGGUUCGUUUGUUCAACGAUUAAAACCCU
rnacentral:rRNA from 1 species